rnacentral:rRNA from 1 species
AACGAACGCUGGCGGCGCGUUUUAAGCAUGCAAGUCGGACGGCAAGGCGGUAGCAAUACUGCCCUAGAGUGGCGAACGGGUGAGUAACACGUAGGUGAUCUGCCUCUGGAUGGGGGAUAGCCCGUGGAAACACGGGGUAAUACCGCAUGAGGCCUUGUGGGUAGAGCCAUGAGGUGAAAGGUGCAACUGCACCGUCUGGGGAUGAGCCUGCGGUCCAUUAGUUAGUUGGCGGGGUAACGGCCCACCAAGACGACGAUGGAUAGCCGGCCUGAGAGGGUGAACGGCCACACUGGAACUGAGACACGGUCCAGACUCCUACGGGAGGCAGCAGCUAAGAAUCUUCCGCAAUGGGGGAAACCCUGACGGAGCGACGCCGCGUGGAUGAUGAAGGCCGUAAGGUUGUAAAAUCCUUUUGUUGGCGAAGAAUAAUGGGGGGAGUGGAAAGCCCCCCAGAUGACGUUAGCCGACGAAUAAGCCCCGGCCAAUUACGUGCCAGCCGCCGCAGUAAAAC